UCGCGUGGGUGAGGCAGCUGGGUUAAAGCAGCCCGCCUCCAGAGCUCCUCCGGGACUAGUGCCAACAGAGUAUUUGAGGAAAACCCAAGUUAUGCCUUGAGACAUAACUCCAUGCGUUCAAGUAAGGAAAGGACACUUUUGGGUUGACCGAUGCCACGUGCUGUGUCCUGCUAUCCAGUGGUGUAUGCAUACAGAUAUGUAUUCGAUAUAGGUGUUAUCUCAUCUGAGCUAUUUAUGUGUGCGUGAGCUGCGUUCCAUGUUUGGGGCACGGGAAUGGAUGUGAGGCAGGAGGGUGUGGUCGAGUUUCAUCGACAUGUAGAAUUGAACUCCAACACUCGGGAUAUUAGUAUUUGGAGAAAAGCAAUACAUAUAUUUGCAGCCCCAAAUUUCCACAGAAAGGAAACAGAAGUAAAGGUACGGAAAGGCUUGUUUUUGAUUUAGUUAUUCUCUUUUGCUUGUAGUUAGUGAUGAUGGUGAUGAUGUGAAUGAUGAAGGCUCGCGCCUUGUCUGGUGAUAGCUCUAAAUUUAUCUUUCUUUCUAUGUGCUGGGAAGCAAGAGGGAAACGAAAAAAGUAAUGGCACAGGGUAUUAUGGGGAACAAACAACAAGGGAGAGAGGGUGAAAAAGGAAGUAUAAUUGGGUUUCGUGUAGUAGGAAGGUCGAAGGUCGAAGUUGAUGAGAAACGAGGCAGGGUUGACGAAAUGAAAGAUAGAAACGAAACAUCGCUUGCUCGCUAGAGUACAGGGGUCAAAAAGGAAACAU
rnacentral:sRNA from 1 species